UGCGGGGUGUGGUGAAAAGUUUGGAAAAUCUCAAGACAGGCAUUCACUUUGUGUUCGUGUGUUCGGAUAUCAGUGACAGAGGAACAAUUGGGAGGGAAGUGAGAUGGAGAUGAUGAAGCCUGAGGCAAAAAAGAAAAAGCCUUCCAAACUACCUCCCUGGCCUCCAGAGCCUCAAAGAAUCGAUACAGAGCAAUUGGACAAGCCCACCCCUGUGGUUCCUCCGCGACCCAAGCAGAAUGAACUGAGUCACACACAAUAUCGCCUGAAAAGAUUAGAAAUGGAUGGUGAGGCCAGUCGAAACAUGCCACAAAGCGAGACAAAGGAGAAAAAGUCAGAAACUCCCGUACCGGCGCCUCGACGAGCAGAAAAGGAGAGGAACUGGACGCCAAAACACAGUCAGCGCAACAGCGACCACAAGCAGAUUUCUGCCAUCCAAUCAGAUGCGGCGACUGACACCAAGCAGAGUCAUGUGACUGACAACCAGGACAGAGGUGAUGACGCUCCGGACAAAAAGACCACUUCCACCAAACCGGGCGUCCUAAAGGGGGUGAUGAAGCACCUCAAGUCCACAAGCAAGGCCGGCGGCGGCAGCGGUGGCGAGGCACCUCUCGAUCCCGACAAAGAAGCGGCGGCUCAGGAAAAGGAACGGACGGACGGCGACAAAGUCAAACAGGAAGUCAAAAGUGCAGAAUCCAAACAAGACUUCGGUGGUCGCUUUGCGGGAAUGUUCCGGAAAGCUGCUUCAGUGACGGUCGGGCUAGUGGACAGCGAUUCUGAGGAGACUGACGACCAGAAACCGCCAGAACAAGAACAUGCUGGGUUUUUCAACGGGAUGUUCAAGAAGAAACCUGCAGAAACGACUCAGCCGGACGAGGAGCAGCAGCCCGGUAUCCGUGGCGACCUGUCAGACAGCAGCGCCAGUUUGUCCGAGAAGGCCGCCUCAGAGGAAAAAGGAGGAUUUUUCAGCGGAAUCCUCCGCAAAUCUCCCAAGCUUCCCAAAGAGACCAUACCCAAGCAGGAUCCCGAAGAGCUCUCCGCUGAUCUCUCAGGCAGCACAGACAGCCUGACGGACAAUAAGGAGAAAGGAGGUUUCUUUAGCGGAUUUCUCAAGAAGACGCCCAAAGCCGAUACAGAGGAACUCACGAGCACACAAAAAGAGCUUUCUUCGAGCAAUGACAGUCUCUCUGAUGUCACAAAGCCCAAAGAGAAAGGAAGCGCGUUCGGCGGAAUGUUCAAGAAGUCGCCUCGAACGAGCGAGAUGCCCAAUGCAGAGGAACCUCAAGACGAUGAGCGCUCGCUGGGUAGUGACGGACCCUCGGAGGAGAAGAAUAAGGAAAAAGGAGGACUAUUUGGUGGAUUCUUCAAGAAGACCGCCAAAGCAUCUCAACCUGACCAGGAUGAGAGCGUGGAGAAAAAGUUGUCAGCCAGCAGCGAGGAUUUAUCGGAAGGAAAAGCGGAGAAAGAUCGAGGGCUCUUUGGCGUCUUCCUCAAAAAGACCCCCAAAGGAGAGAGGGCUGACUCACCGGAUAGUGAGGAGGACAAGGAGCAAGCAACUACAAAGGCAGUGGGCGGCGACGAUGUGGUCGAUAGGGACGUCCCCAAGGAUAAAAACCUUUUCAGCAACAUGUUCAAGAAGCCUCAGAAGCCUACAGAGGGCGAUAAGGAAGCCCUAGUCAAGAGUGAAGUGAAGCCAUCUGGGAGCUUGGAGAACUUGUCCGAAAACGUCCCCAAGGUGAAAAAAGGAGGCCUGGCGGGCAUCUUCAGAAGAUCCAACAGCCAAGACAACCUGCUGGAUGAGGAGAAAGGUGGACUUUUUGGCGGACUCAAGAAAAACACCAACAAAGCGCCUGACGAGGACCAAGCUGCAAGGGACAAGGAGAAGUCAUCAAGUAACGACAAUCUAUCGGAAAACACCAAUGCCAAGGGAAAAAGUAUUUUCAGUGGCAUGUUCAAGAAAGCGCCGAAAGCAGGCGACGAGGAGUCAAACGGCGAUGAGGAAAAGAAGCUCUUAUCGGCCAGCAAUGAAAACUUGACAGAAGAAAAUGCACCAAAGGAAAAGGUGGGAGGUUUGGCGGGAAUGUUAAAAAAGUCGCCCAAACCAGCACCACGUUCUCUCGCCACCAAGGAUCCUCUUAGUGAUGGCAAGCAGGAAGAAAGUGUCAAGGAUGACUUGUCAGGAGACGAAUUAGCAGGCCCUCCUGUCGAUCUUGAAGCUGCCACUGCAAAGGAGAAAAAAGGAGGCUUCACUGCCAUGUUCAAGAGGACGCCCAAAACCGCUGACAAACAGGACAAUGAUAAGGACGAGGAGCGGGCGCCAUCUGCGGGCGGGGGGCUGAAACGCAGGAGGACUAUCAAGAAAAAAAGACGAGUUAUAUCCUUCAGAGUCAAGACAACUCUUCCCAGGACGUCACAGGCCCAAGAAAAGAUGCCGGUCAUUGAGGAGAGUCUGGAGAUGCAGGAGAUGAUUCCGGCACAGAGUACAGUUGAGGUCCAAUCGGUGGAGAUGGCCGCAUACCCAACUGAGGGAAACCCACUGGAAUCUGAGGAGGAGAACGAUGGCCUGAUGGAAUGGUGGAAAAAUGUUGAAGGUUGGGCCGAGUGGAACGAGACGGCCAAUUUCCAAGAAGAUGAGGAGGGAAUAGCAAUGGAGGAGGCGGCCGACCGUGUCUACAUGGCAGCGCGCCUGUUUGUGCGCCUCUUCAACCAGCGGGGGGCAUCCUUGCAACACUGCAUCCUUGAGCUGCUGGCCGUUGCCGAUACCGCAGACCAGUUCCAUAAAAAGACGGUAUCGGCAGCCGUAGGCGGAGGUGUGGCCAGCGUGGCUGGCAGCCUGACGACCAUUACGGGGCUCAUCCUGGCGCCAUUCACCUUUGGCGCCUCCAUCAUUGUCACGGCGGUAGGCAUUGGCGUGGCCACGGCAGGCAGCAUCACCUCGGCCACGGCCAACAUAACAGACGCCGUCCACUCUAACAUGGACCGCAAGAAGGUGGAAAAGAUGAUCCAGGACUACCAGGAGCAGAUCAAAGACAUCCGCGAGUGUAUGAAUUUUGUGCAGGAAGGCAUAGACACCCUGCAGGAGUGGGACUUUGAGAAGUACUCGCAGAGUGCUGCCAAGAAGGCCCUGAACCACAACAUCAAACAUGUGGUAAAGGAAGGCGGCCGAGCAGGAAAGGCCCUAAUGAUCAACACUGACAAGCUCAUUAGCACUGUCCAGGUUCUGGGUGCGGGGGCUGGAGCAGCCAAGGCCGCCCAGGCCAUCAGCGUCACCACGGGGGUCAUGUCGGCGCUCUUCCUGGCCCUAGAUGUCUUCUUUCUCGCCAAGGACUCCCAUGAACUACGUAAAGGUGCCAAGACCAAAUUCGCAUCCAAGAUCAGGGAUGUGUGCAAGGAGCUACAGGAUGGCCUCCUGGAGCUCAACAAGGUCAAGACUCAGCUGCAGAAGACCAUGGACGGCAUCGAGGUUGAGGAGUAUGAGGAGAUCGAGGAGGUGGAGGUGGAGGUAGACGAUGACCUGGAGUCAGAUCCCAAGAAGCUGGCAGAACUGGAACAAGAGCUGGAUCUCAUGGAAUUAAAACUGGACAAACGGAUUGAGGAGGGCAAAAUCACAGAGAAGGAAGGUGAGUCCAAGGAGAAGAAGGAAGGGUUGAGAAAGAAGGACAAAAUGGACAAGGAGACAGAGAACCGGACCACGGCUUCGAAGGAGAAGCAAGAGAAAGAAACAGCAGCAUCGUAUAAAAAAGUGGAGGAGAAACCCAAAAAGCAGGAUCAUGGUGGGCAAGAUACAUAUGGUAGAACAGGAGAAUCCCAAAAAAAUCCAGACCAGGAGAGAAGCCUCCUAGAAGAUAGGGGGAAAGACGCAUUGGCCAGAACAAACAACUCCCGUACAAAGCCAGAGCAUGAGAGAAGACAGCAGGAAGAUGAUGAGAAAGAAUCACUCGGCAGAGUGGAGGAUUCCAAAAGGAAGUCAGAACGUGAGAAAAGUCACAGAGGGCUGACGGUGAAUCCCGAAGGAAGCGUUCAUAUCGAUGAGUGGGCCAGUCAGGAGAGAAGAAGCAGCGGAUACGGAUCCAAACGUGAAAGCAAAAUGAUGGAUAGCAUUCAAGCAAAAGACCGGAGGACAGAAGACAAAGCAAGUAGAGAAGGAUUGGACUUGGACAAGGGCAUGACAAGAGACACUCACGGGAGAAGCGAUGAACGGAGGGAUUCGCAACAGAGUCGAGAAUCGAGCCGGCGGGACCACACAGAGUGGAGGAUAGCGUCCAGCCACAGGAGUCACCACAGGAGAGCGGAGGAAAGGGCGGGAGACGAAGUGCGCGGCGAGGAAGAACGAAUGAGCCGGACCGAGAGCACCCGGAAGAAGCUUGAGCGAGGCGGUGACCACGUGGAGGAUUAUCGAGGGAGCACAGAGAGUCACAGGAGAGGAAGUGACCGAGUCAAGACGGGAACUGACAGGGAGAGGAAAGGAAGUGACAGGGACAAGACAAAAAGUGAUCAUGGGAGGAGAGGAAGCGACAGAGAGGGGAAACACAGUCGUCGAGGUUCUCGGCAUUCCAGUGUCCUACUGGAUGAUGGACUUUAUAUUUAGAUUUCUAGCUCUUUGAUGUCUUUUAAACCAGUCUUACCGUUAAUUGUCACAUUUUUUAAUUAGCCAGCCUUUGGUCUUUGUGUCUGACCUGAUAGCAAGACCCAUUGGUGCAGUUUUUUGGCUCAUGGCUCUAUGUAAGGCCUUGUUGUUUUGAUCCUAGUCCAAGCCCACCUCUGUCUCUUUGGGGGAAGUCAUAAGAUAGGCCUGGAUAAUUCUGUC